CUGAUACCAAAUAUGGAAAACUGCAGCUGAUGGCCAAGCAUGCUAUAGACUACAGCAUGUUUGGGGGGCCUCAAAACUUUGGAAAGUGGAUGGACAUGCACUCAGCUCCAUCUUGCCCUACUGAGGCGAGGGCACCUGUUGAGCAUCUAAUUGGGCAGUUUGCAUCCGGAAUGACCGGCUUGCU